rnacentral:rRNA from 1 species
CAUGCAAUUGGAGCCACGAACCGGGGCUUGCCCUGGGGCAGAGCCGCUAACGGGUGAGUAACACGUGGGUAACCUACCUCGAUGACCGGGACAACCCGAGGAAACUCGGGCUAAUACCGGAUGUGCUCCGUCCUCUCAAGGGGACUGAGUAAAGAUAGCUUUGGCCUUCGCAUCGAGACGGGCCCGCGGCCCAUUAGCUUGUUGGUGAGGUAACGGCUCACCAAGGCUGCGAUGGGUAGCUGGUCUGAGAGGACGAUCAGCCACACUGGGACUGAGACACAGCCCAGACUCCUACGGGAGGCAGCUUUGGGGAAUCUUGCGCAAUGCGCGAAAGCGUGACGCAUCAACGCCGCGUGGGGGAAGAAGGCCUUCGGGUUGUAAACCCCUUUCAGUUGGGACGAAGCUUCCAGGGUUAAUAUCUCUCUGGAGUGACGGUACCUUCACAAGAAGCCCCGGCUAACUACUUGCCACCAGCCGCGGUAAUACGAAGGGCGCUAGCGGUGUCCGGAAUCAUUGUGCGUAAAGCGCGUGUAGGCUGUCCGGUAACUCCGCUGUGAAAGUCGGGAGCUCCACCCUCGAAUGCCUGUGGAUACUGUCCGGCUUGAGUACUGAAGAUGCCAGUGGAAUUCCUGGUGUAGCGGUGAUAUGCGCAGAUAUCAGGAGGAACACCUAUUGCGAACGCAGCUCGCUGGGACGUUACUGACGCUGACACGCUAAAACGUGGGGAGCAAACAGGAUUAGAUACCCUGGUAGUCCACGCUGUCACGAUGGGCACUACGUGUGGGAUGUGUCGACUCCCUCCGUGCCAAGCUAACGCAUUAGUGCCCCGGCUG